ACGAAGGGGGCGAGCGUUGUUCGGAUUUACUGGGCGUAAAGGGCGCGCAGGCGGCUCAUUUUGUCAGGCGUGAAAGCCCCGGGCUUAACCUGGGAGGUGCGUUUGAUACGGAUGGGCUAGAGUUCGGGAGAGGAGAGUGGAAUUCCCAGUGUAGAGGUGAAAUUCGUAGAUAUUGGGAAGAACACCGGUGGCGAAGGCGGCUCUCUGGACCGAGACUGACGCUGAGGCGCGAAAGCGUGGGGAGCAAACAGGA
rnacentral:rRNA from 1 species